rnacentral:rRNA from 1 species
GAUUAACGCUAGCUACAGGCUUAACACAUGCAAGUCGAGGGGAAACGAUAUUGGAAGCUUGCUUCCGAUAGGCGUCGACCGGCGCACGGGUGAGUAACGCGUAUCCAACCUGCCCACCACUUGGGGAUAACCUUGCGAAAGUAAGACUAAUACCCAAUGAUGUCCAUAGAAGACAUCUGAAAUGGAUUAAAGAUUUAUCGGUGAUGGAUGGGGAUGCGUCGGAUUAGCUUGUUGGCGGGGUAACGGCCCACCAAGGCGACGAUCAGUAGGGGUACUGAGAGGAAAGGCCACCACAUUGGAACUGAGACACGGUCCAAACUCCUAGGGGAGGCAGCAGUGAGAAAUAUUGGUCAAUGGGCGAGAGCCUGAACCAGCCAAGUAGCAUGCAGGAUGACGGCCCUAUGGGUUGUAAACUGCUUUUAUAAGGGAAUAAAGUGAGUCUCGUGAGGCUUUUUGCAUGUACCUUAUGAAUAAGGACCGGCUAAUUCCGUGCCAGCAGCCGCAGUAA